GGAUGGAUCAUUACCAAAGAUCCCAUCCACGUAUUGUGAACUGUUUUGACUAACGGUCAGUGGGAGCUGUAGUAGGUGCUUCGGCGCACGCUACUGUAACCGCUGCCCGUAUCAACAAACGUAUAUUCUAAAACUGACGUCUCUUUAGUAAAUUAACUAAAGACAACUUUUAGCAACGGAUCUCUAGGCUCUUGCAACGAUGAAGAACGCAGCGAAUUGCGAAAAGUAAUGUGAAUUGCAGAUACCGUGAAUCAUCAAAUCUUUGAACGCACAUUGCACUGUCUGGAACUCCGGACAGUAUACCUGUUUGAGCAUCAGUAACCACUCUCCUACACCCUACUGUCUACGGUAGCUGUAUGGAGGACUUGAGUAACCAUGUCGCUCGCGGCAUGCUACUUUAAAUCUAGUGGCUAGGAAGUCCCGGACUUUACUACUAGCUGACAGAGUCAAUGGACCUCGUGUCUAUUACUGUCUCGCUGCGGUAGAGCAACCGGCGAUGCAACCAAGCAUUACUGUAAACUACAGUGGCCCUUACCGGCUUCUGUGACAAUGAUCUCAAAUCAGGUAGGAUUACCCGCUGAACUUAAGCAUAUUAAUAAGCGGAGGAAAAGAAACUAACAAGGAUUCCCCUAGUAAUGGCGAAUGAAGCGGGAACAGCUCAAAUUUAAAAUCACCUCGGUGAAUUGUAGUUUGUAGAAGUGCUUUCGUUGGCAGCCUGGGUAUAAGUCCCUUGGGAUAGGGCAUCAUAGAGGGUGAGAAUCCCGUACAUGAUCCAGGUACUGUCACAAUGUGAUGCGCUUUCAAAGAGUCGGGUUGUUUGGGAAUGCAGCCCAAAGCGGGUGGUAUAUUCCAUCUAAAGCUAAAUACAGGCAAGAGACCGAUAGCGAACAAGUACCGUGAGGGAAAGAUGAAAAGAACUUUGAAAAGAGAGUUAAACAGUACGUGAAAUUGCUAAAAGGGAAACGAUUGAAAUCAGUGUUGGCUGCGGGAAUCAACCGGGCAGAAAUGGCCGGCGUAAUUUCCCGUAGUCAGGUCAACAUCAGUUUCGACCGUGUUAAAUUAGCCCAGGAAGGUAGCUCCCUCGGGAGUGUUUAGACUGGGUGAGUGACACGAUUGGGACUGAGGACUGCAGUACAUGCCUUCGGGCUGGCGAACCCGCCGCUACUAUACAGUUAGUCUUGGACUGCAUGCAGACCCUGGCUAGGUGCGUGGUACUCGUCGGGCUAGCACAAAUGUGCUUAGGAUGUUGACGAAAUGGUUUUAAACGACCCGUCUUGAAACACGGACCAAGGAGUCUAACACAUAUGCGAGUUUUUGGGUGGCAAGCCCAGGAGCGCAAUGAAAGUAAAUGCAGGUGGGAUCCUGGUAACAGGUGCACCAUCGACCGGUCUGGAUUUUUAAUGAUAGAUCUGAGUAAGAGCAUAUUUGUUGGGACCCGAAAGAUGGUGAACUAUGCCUGAAUAGGGCGAAGCCAGAGGAAACUCUGGUGGAGGCUCGUAGCGGUACUGACGUGCAAAUCGUUCGUCAAAUUUGGGUAUAGGGGCGAAAGACUAAUCGAACCAUCUAGUAGCUGGUUCCCUC
rnacentral:misc_RNA from 1 species